rnacentral:rRNA from 1 species
UUCGCCCUUUUCCGGUUGAUCCUGCCGGAGGUUACUGCUAUCGGUGUUCGACUAAGCCAUGCGAGUCAAAUGUUCUUCGUGAACAUGGCGGACUGCUCAGUAACACGUGGAUAACCUGCCCUUAGGUUUGGCAUAACUCCGGGAAACUGGAGAUAAUUCCGAAUAGGUCAAAUAUGCUGGAAUGCUUUUUGGCCAAAAGACUUCGGUUGCCUAAGGAUGGAUCUGCGGUCUAUCAGGUUGUAGUGGGUGUAACGUACCUACUAGCCUACGACGGAUAUGGGUUGUGAGAGCAAGAGCCCAGAGAUGGAUUCUGAGACAUGAAUCCAGGCCCUACGGGGCGCAGCAGGCGCGAAAACUUUACAAUGCGGGAAACCGCGAUAAGGGGACACCGAGUGCCAGCAUUUAUGUUGGCUGUCCACAUGUGUAAACGGCAUGUGUUAGCAAGGGCCGGGCAAGACCGGUGCCAGCCGCCGCGGUAACACCGGCGGCCCGAGUGGUAAUCACUUUUAUUGGGUCUAAAGGGUCCGUAGCCGGUUUGAUCAGUUCUUCGGGAAAUCUGACAGCUCAACUGUUAGGCUUCCGGGGAAUACUGUCAGACUUGGGACCGGGAGAGGUAAGAGGUACUACAGGGGUAGGAGUGAAAUCUUGUAAUCCCUGUGGGACCACCAGUGGCGAAGGCGUCUUACCAGAACGGGU